rnacentral:rRNA from 1 species
UACGAAGGGGGCUAGCGUUGCUCGGAAUCACUGGGCGUAAAGCGCACGUAGGCGGCUUCUUAAGUCAGGGGUGAAAUCCUGGAGCUCAACUCCAGAACUGCCUUUGAUACUGAGGAGCUUGAGUCCGGGAGAGGUGAGUGGAACUGCGAGUGUAGAGGUGAAAUUCGUAGAUAUUCGGAAGAACACCAGUGGCGAAGGCGGCUCACUGGCCCGGUACUGACGCUGAAGUGCGAAAGCGUGGGGAGCAAACAGG